CCUAGGGGCUGUGUGGAUUGCGCUGACUACAUAUAUCUGAGCAAUGUGGGUAUUUCUCUUCUAGCAUCAACUAGAAAACUGGAGUAACUAGCCCUCCAGUCAGAAAUCUGGCUCUGACAUCAGACAUGAAAAGAUGCUGAACAAUGUGCUAAACAAGAAGAUGUUGCUGCGGCUGAGGUCGAAGAGGUUUCUGCCAGUGUUCUCCUCAAGGAUUUUGAGGACCUUUCUCACAUUGACGACCUUCAUCCGUUUUGAGUCUAUCUUCAUGUGUGGUAUAAGGAAUUGGUCCAAUUUCAUUUUCCUGCAUGUUAUCCACAUGGAAAUUUUUAUAAAAAUUACUUAUGAAGGAUCCCCACUGGAGAAUUAUUUGUAAUAAAGGAAAACUGGAAGCAACUCCAAUGUAUAUCUGUACAGAAGCAAUCAAAUAAAUC
rnacentral:lncRNA from 1 species